CGAGCACGUGCCGUCUGGAGCGCGUUUUAGCCUUCUUCGCUCGGCUAUAAGACGACGACGACGAGCGUGAAGUUUUGCGCGACAGCGGACGACGAAAGGCUGCUGAGCUGCUUCGACUGAGGAACGAAGAUGAGGACCUCGCUCCUUCCCACCCUGUUGGUCGUGCUGGCGCUGGCCGCGUGUAUAUCUGCCACUAGCCCUCCAAGAUGCGAAAGUGUGAAUUGCGCAGAAGCGAGAUGCCCGCCCGCCGA